rnacentral:miRNA from 1 species
ACAUAUUACGAGUUUGUGCGUGAAUCUAACAUACAAAGACAACACUUCAGAAAGGGGGAUUUGGUGUUAAUUAACUGCCAAAUCCCUCAAAACCUAGGUGUGUGUUUAAACAUUAGAUUCACGCACAAACUCGACAUAUGCCU